rnacentral:ncRNA from 1 species
ACCAUACCGGUUCUGCCGUGUGCAGAUGAAAAGGGAACGCGGUGCGAGGCCGCGGCAGCUCACUCUACUGUAUGGAAGGACGAACCCUGUGUACCACUGCCCUGCGGGGCGGGAAGGGCAGGUAGUAGGUUUGAGUUCCAAGCCAGGAUACCUGCCGGUAGCU